UACGAAGGUGGCAAGCGUUACUCGGAAUUACUAGGCGUAAAGCGCAGGUAGGCGGUUCGGUAAGUCUUUUGUGAAAGCUCCCGGCUUAACUGGGAGAGGCCAAGGGAUACUGCCGGACUUGAGUGUGGUAGAGGAAACUGGAAUUCCCGGUGUAGCGGUGAAAUGCGUAGAUAUCGGGAGGAAUACCUAAGGCGAAAGCAGGUUUCUGGGCCAUCACUGACGCUGAGCUGCGAAAGCUAGGGGAGCAAACAGGAUUAGAUACCCUGGUAGUCCUAGCCCUAAACGAUGCUCAUUAGAUGUGGGGGGUAUCGACCCCUUCCGCGUCGACGCUAACGCAUUAAAUGAGCCGCCUGGGGAGUACGGCCGCAAGGUUGAA
rnacentral:rRNA from 1 species